rnacentral:tRNA from 1 species
GUUAAUGUAGCUUAAAGACACUAAAGCAAGGCACUGAAAAUGCCUAGAUGAGUCAUCAGACUCCAUAAACA